rfam:Gossypium arboreum cultivar AKA8401 contig_7532_7, whole genome shotgun sequence.
UAUCAAAAAAAUUCAUCCAUUCUUAUUGUUUAAAAUUGGCAUGGCUGACCAGAAAGUUAUAUAUGACAUGUCGUAUGUACCUCAUUCUGACGUACAAGAACCAAUUUUUAAUAGUAAAAAUAGAUGAAAUUUUUUACU